rnacentral:rRNA from 1 species
GACGAACCGAGCGAACGUUGUUCGGAAUCACUGGGCGUAAAGGGUGCGUAGGCGGGUCUUUAAGUCAGGGGUGAAAUCCUGGAGCUCAACUCCAGAGCUGCCUUUGAUACUGAAGAUCUUGAGUUCGGGAGAGGUGAGUGGAACUGCGAGUGUAGAGGUGAAAUUCGUAGAUAUUCGCAAGAACACCAGUGGCGAAGGCGGCUCACUGGCCCGAUACUGACGCUGAGGCACGAAAGCGUGGGGAGCAAACAGG